AAAUCACAUGAUGAGUUCCUAGCAUACAAAACUACCUACCACAGCCAUACUUGCUAUAACAUCUUUUACUAUAUCUACAUUGAGUUUGAUCGAGCUGUGUAGACCCUUAGGAGCUUUUCAUGUGGUUAAAUUAAGAUAUUCACUUGCACUCAUCUACCACAGCAUUAAUCAUUAAAAUUGCUAAAAAAAUAUAUUAUCACUCACUGUCCCAAGUAUUGUUAUUCUCUCUCUAAAAAGAUUCAAUGUAGAAGAGGCAUGGGUUAUGCAAAAACAUACGAGGAAAUAAAAAGGGGCAAGUGCCCGGAACCUCGGAAAAGAAAGAAAAAGAGUGAGACGAGAGGUAAAAAUGGACAAGUGUCCGAAGUAGAAUUAGGGGUACAAAGAUGCCCACUUGAGCGGAAAAAAAGGACAAGUGUCCGACAGUAGAAUUAGGGGUAUCUAUUACCCACCUGAAAAAAAAAGAGAUAGCCCAUGUUCUCCCAAAGCAAAGAUCAAAGAGGAGGAGAGAUAGCAAUAUGAGGAGCAAUGAGAACUAAGAUUUAUUAACACUAUUGCAUUUUCACCAUCACUAUCAUUUACUCCACCAC
rnacentral:lncRNA from 1 species